rnacentral:rRNA from 1 species
CCUACGGGUGGCUGCAGUGGGGAAUAUUGCGCAAUGGGGGCGACCCUGACGCAGCAACGCCGCGUGAUUGAAGAAGGCCUUCGGGUUUUUAAGCUCUUUAAUCGGGGACGAAUUUUGACGGUACCCGAAGAAUAAGCUCCGACUAACUACGUGCCAGCAGCCGCGGUCAUACGUAGGGAGCACGCGUUAUCCGGAUUUACUGGGUGUAAAGGGCGUGUAGGCGGGCAUGCAAGCCAGAAGUGAAAUCUGGGGGCUUAACCCCCAAACUGCUUUUGGAACUGCGUGUCUUGAGUGAUGGAGAGGUAGGCGGAAUUCGCAGUGUAGCGGUGAAAUGCGUAGAUAUUGGGAGGAACUCCAGUGGCGAAGGCGGCCUGCUGGACAUUAACUGACGCUGAGGCGCGAAAGUGUGGGGAGCAAACAGGAUUAGAUACCCCUGUAGUC